UACGGAGGGGACUAGCGUUGUUCGGAAUUACUGGGCGUAAAGCGCACGUAGGCGGAUUUGUAAGUCAGGGGUGAAAUCCCGGGGCUCAACCUCGGAACUGCCUUUGAUACUGCAAAUCUCGAGUCCGGAAGAGGUGAGUGGAAUUCCUAGUGUAGAGGUGAAAUUCGUAGAUAUUAGGAAGAACACCAGUGGCGAAGGCGGCUCACUGGUCCGGUACUGACGCUGAGGCGCGAAAGCCAAGGGAGCGAACGGG
rnacentral:rRNA from 1 species